rnacentral:rRNA from 1 species
UCCGGUUGAUCCUGCCAGAGGUUACUGCUAUCGAGGUUCGACUAAGCCAUGCGAGUCGAAUGUAGCAAUACAUGGCGUACUGCUCAGUAACACGUGGACAACCUGCCCUUAGGUUGGGUAUAAACCCGGGAAACUGGGUAUAAUCCCCUAUAAGUCUCGGCUGCUGGAAUGCACCGAGAUUAAAAGCUCCGGCGCCUAAGGAUGGGUCUGCGGCCUAUCAGGUAGUAGUGGGUGUAGCGUACCUACUAGCCUACGACGGGUACGGGUUGUGAGAGCAAGAGCCCGGAGAUGGAUUCUGAGACACGAAUCCAGGCCCUACGGGGUGCAGCAGGCGCGAAAACUUUACAAUGCUGGCAACAGCGAUAAGGGAACCUCGAGUGCCAGGUUACAAAUCUGGCUGUCGAGAUGCCUAAAAAGCAUUUCAUAGCAAGGGCCGGGCAAGACCGGUGCCAGCCGCCGCGGUAACACCGGCGGCUCGAGUGGUAACCGUUAUUAUUGGGUCUAAAGGGUCUGUAGCCGGCCGGAUAAGUCUCUUGAGAAAUCUGGCAGCUUAACUGUCAGGCUUUCAGGAGAUACUGUCUGGCUCGAGGCCGGGAGAGGUGAGAGGUACUUCAGGGGUAGGGGUGAAAUCU